rnacentral:ncRNA from 1 species
AAAGCAGAUUCCGAAAAGCUAAAAAAGAGUAGGAU